UCGGCACUGCUGGGCCGACUCGACUGGAGUGAUACCACGGCCGAGCAGGAAACCGACGUGAAACAACGCUUGCGUUGUGUGAGUGAGGUUACCGGAGGCCCAAUUCCCCCCUUCCCAAUCUUCCCAAUCACCGAUUCCUCAACAACCCUUGAAUUCCUAAUCCCCAAAAAGCUGGCAAUACACUUGUAACGCCUCUGGUGUUUCAAGUGUCCAUGGGCGGCGGCGAUUGCUUACCAGGUGAUACGUAUGCUCGUUUAUGGCGUUUAUAAAAAAGUUUUAAAGAUGUAAGCAUACAAAGGGACAUAGGGACAGAGAAAGGGACUUUGUUUUAUACUAUGUAGUGAAGCUGGUAAAUGGGCUGACGGAUCACCUGAUGGUAAGUAAUCGCCGUGAAAAAGUGGAUGUUACAUUAAGAGGACAUUAGAGGUCUCCCUAUAAUUUAUUUAUUAUAUGAAAUUGUAAUAUUUAUAUGAAUAAAUUGAUCUUAUAUUAAUUUUAAACUUAA